UAGAUUCAUUCAAACUAACAAUGCAUAUGAGUUUGUCACAGUUUUAACAUAUGCAUUCUUCUUGCAGAUGGUUGAAAAAGAAGGUUAUCUUCAAAAAGCUAAAAUUGCAGAUGGAGGAAAGAAACUAAGUGGGAGAGUUGAUCCAGAAACAUAGCUUCUCAUUACAAUCUACCUCACUUUAAUGAUAAGUGAAAAGGAUUGAGAAGAGUGCUGUAGAUUGUGAUUUGCUACCUGGGACAAUUCUGUGAUAAGAUGCCUGGGAACAGUGUCAGUGAGCGAUAUCUUCAAAACAAAGUUGAGCAACAGCACUGUAGAACAAAAACUGGGCACAAAGCAGAAAGUGUGGAUUUGUAUGGGGCACAUAUAGAAUGGGCCAAGGAAAAAUCAAGCAGAAAGAAUGUCU